ACCUACAUAAUGUUAUCAGGUAUAUGCUGAAUAUCUUCCCUAGGACCCACAUAAUGUUAUCAGGUAUAUGCUGAAUAUCUUCCCUAGGACCCACAUAAUGUUAUCGGGUAUAUGCUGAAUAUCUUCCCUAGGACCUACAUAAUGUUAUCUGGUAUAUGCUGAAUAUCUUCCCUAGGACCCACAUAAUGUUAUCGGGUAUAUGCUGAAUGUCCCCCUAGGACCUACAUAAUGUUAUCGGGUAUAUGCUGAAUAUCUUCCCUAGGACCCACAUAAUGUUAUCGGGUAUAUGCUGAAUAUCUUCCCUAGGACCCACAUAAUGUUAUCAGGUAUAUGCUGAAUAUCUUCCCUAGGACCCACAUAAUGUUAUCAGGUAUAUGCUGAAUAUCUUCCCUAGGACCCACAUAAUGUUAUCAGGUAUAUGCUGAAUAUCUUCCCUAGGACCCACAUAAUGUUAUCAGGUAUAUGCUGAAUAUCUUCCCUAGGACCUACAUAAUGUUAUCAGGUAUAUGCUGAAUAUCUUCCCUAGGACCCACAUAAUGUUAUCUGGUAUAUGCUGAAUAUCUUCCCUAGGACCCACAUAAUGUUAUCAGGUAUAUGCUGAAUAUCUUCCCUAGGACCCACAUAAUGUUAUCAGGUAUAUGCUGAAUAUCUUCCCUAGGACCUACAUAAUGUUAUCUGGUAUAUGCUGAAUAUCUUCCCUAGGACCCACAUAAUGUUAUCAGGUAUAUGCUGAAUAUCUUCCCUAGGACCCACAUAAUGUUAUCAGGUAUAUGCUGAAUAUCUUCCCUAGGACCUACAUAAUGUUAUCAGGUAUAUGCUGAAUGUUCCCCCUAGGACCCACAUAAUGUUAUCUGGUAUAUGCUGAAUAUCUUCCCUAGGACCCACAUAAUGUUAUCAGGUAUAUGCUGAAUAUCUUCCCUAGGACCUACAUAAUGUUAUCUGGUAUAUGCUGAAUAUCUUCCCUAGGACCCACAUAAUGUUAUCGGGUAUGUGCUGAAUGUCCCCCUCCCCCUAGGACCUACAUAAUGUUAUCAGGUAUAUGCUGAAUAUCUUCCCUAGGACCCACAUAAUGUUAUCUGGUAUAUGCUGAAUAUCUUCCCUAGGACCCACAUAAUGUUAUCAGGUAUAUGCUGAAUAUCUUCCCUAGGACCCACAUAAUGUUAUCAGGUAUAUGCUGAAUAUCUUCCCUAGGACCCACAUAAUGUUAUCAGGUAUAUGCUGAAUGUUCCCCCUAGGACCUACAUAAUGUUAUCAGGUAUAUGCUGAAUGUUCCCCCCCUCUAGGACCCACAUAAUGUUAUCAGGUAUAUGCUGAAUGUUCCCCCUAGGACCCACAUAAUGUUAUCAGGUAUAUGCUGAAUGUUCCCCCUAGGACCUACAUAAUGUUAUCAGGUAUAUGCUGAACAUCUUCCCUAGGACCCACAUAAUGUUAUCAGGUAUAUGCUGAAUAUCUUCCCUAGGACGCUGAGGCUUCAAUCAAAGCCUACUUAUGUUGA